GAUAGCCUUUCGAAAGAAAGAUUAAUACCUGAUGGUAUGAUGAGAUUGCAUGAUAGCAUCAUUAAAGAUUUAUCGGUGUACGAUGGGGAUGCGUUCCAUUAGGUAGUAGGCGGGGUAACGGCCCACCUAGCCAACGGUGGAUAGGGGUUCUGAGAGGAAGGUCCCCCACAUUGGAACUGAGACACGGUCCAAACUCCUACGGGAGGCAGCAGUGAGGAAUAUUGGUCAAUGGACGAGAGUCUGAACCAGCCAAGUAGCGUGAAGGAUGAAGGUCCUACGGAUUGUAAACUUCUUUUAUAAGGGAAUAAACCCUCCCACGUGUGGGAGCUUGCAUGUACCGUAUGAAUAAGCAUCGGCUAACUCCGUGCCAGCAGCCGCGGUAAUACGGAGGAUGCGAGCGUUAUCCGGAUUUAUUGGGUUUAAAGGGAGCGCAGACGGGAGAUUAAGUCAGUUGUGAAAGUUUGCGGCUCAACCGUAAAAUUGCAGUUGAUACUGGUUUCCUUGAGUGCAGUUGAGGCAGGCGGAAUUCGUGGUGUAGCGGUGAAAUGCUUAGAUAUCACGAAGAACCCCGAUUGCGAAGGCAGCUUGCUAAACUGUAACUGACGUUCAUGCUCGAAAGUGUGG
rnacentral:rRNA from 1 species